GUCUGAGCCCAUAUCACCCUGAAUGUGCCUAUCUCGUCUGGUCUCAGAAGAUAAGCAGGGUCAGGCCUGGUUAGUACUUGGAUGGGAGACAAAUCUUCAAAAGAGACUUCUCAGAGA
rnacentral:rRNA from 1 species